rnacentral:lncRNA from 1 species
CACUUGGGGUGCGUCCACCUUUUUGCUAUUGAGAAUAAUGCUGCUGUGAACAUGGAUGGAGACAUAUCUCUUCAAGGCCGUGCUUUCACAUCAUUUGGGUAUACACCCGGAAGUGGGAUUACUGGAUUAUAUGCCUCUCAUGGAAACAGGAAAAAGGAGAAGCAUGAUCUUAUUUUACCAGAAAGGAACAGAACCGACCUGGACCUGGCUCACAGUAAGAUGCAGUGGAACUAAAUCUAAGAUAACAUUGUUUACCUGCAAACGGCAAUGACCAAAAAGGUUGGUAUCUCAAGAGUUUUGCAGUGAUGCAGAGAGAGACAGGCACUAAUUGCUUUGGUGAGUAUACAGUUUUACAGUCUUUAUAGAGAACAAGUAAGUAACAUUUUGUCAAAAUUAAAACUAUGCAUACAUUUCUAGGAACUGAGAGUUCAGCAAUUCCAGCUUCCAAGAAUUUACCCUACACACAUUCUCUUACUUACGCAAAAUGACACACGUGCAAGGACAUUUAUCGUAGCACUUUUUUAUGGUAGCAAAAGAGUGUCAUUAGACUGGAAGUCCAUCAAUAGGAAAAUAGGAAACUGG